UACGUAGGGACCAAGCGUUGUUCGGAUUUACUGGGCGUAAAGGGCGCGUAGGCGGCGCGACAAGUCACUUGUGAAAUCUCUGGGCUCAACCCAGAACGGUCAAGUGAUACUGUCGUGCUAGAGUGCGGAAGGGGCAACUGGAAUUCUUGGUGUAGCGGUGAAAUGCGUAGAUAUCAAGAGGAACACCUGCGGCGAAGGCGGGUUGCUGGGCCGACACUGACGCUGAGGCGCGAAAGCUAGGGGAGCGAACGGG
rnacentral:rRNA from 1 species